AUGGAAGCCAGUCAGGCCCGCAUGCACUGCAGCUGCUCACUUCCUCAUCGCCCGCUGUCGGCGACAACACUCCCUUCCUCCAGCGCGUCACCGGCGCGGCCAACCACCUACACCGGCUUCGGCUGCAACCAUGGCGCCUCUUUUUGUCAACCUCUAGCAUGUUUUUUGUUUCUUGAUAACAGCCUAUUGCUUAUGCUUAUGAUUUGUUUGUUCUACGGAUAUGAAGGUUAUGCCACCGAUAGCUCAAAUCCUCUCUCCAUCAACUCAUGUAAAUUGUCGCAUUUGACACCUGAGAAUUACUCUCCCCAGGAUAUGAAGAACCCAGCCGGUGCUUCUUAG
rnacentral:rRNA from 1 species